GUGGUUGUGGCUCAGUGGUAGAGCGCUUGUCUAGCACAUGUGAGGCACUGGGUUCAAUCCUCAGCACCACA
rnacentral:tRNA from 1 species